UAAUAAGGUUCAAAGGCUAAUAAAUACGCGCCGUCCUGGCGCAACGCCCUUGUGACCAACCUCCUGUUGG
rnacentral:sRNA from 1 species